rnacentral:miRNA from 1 species
UUCGUAUUUCAGCUGAAGAGUGAACAUUUUUAGUGUAAGUAUGACUUAUAUAAUAUUUGGGAUAUACUUAUACUAAAAUAUUAUUCAGUUUAUCUGGAAUUC